UUUGCAAGUGACGACGAAACAGACAGGGACAUCUGCACUCCUCAUGGAGGUUGAAGACUUGUCUUUGGGAAUCUCUCUGAUGCAUU